rnacentral:rRNA from 1 species
AGAUGAGAUUUCCCAUGGAGUUAAUCCAGUAAGACCCCUUAGAGAUGAUGAGGUUGAUAGGUCUCGGGUGGAAGCGUGGCGACACGUGGAGCUGAGAGAUACUAAUCGGUCGAGGACUUAUCCUAAA